rnacentral:rRNA from 1 species
GAUCAUGGCUCAGAACGAACGCUGGCGGCAGGCCUAACACAUGCAAGUCGAGCGCCCCGCAAGGGGAGCGGCGGACGGGUGAGUAACGCGUGGGAACGUACCCUUUGCUACGGAAUAGCCUCGGGAAACUGGGAGUAAUACCGUAUGUGCCCUUCGGGGGAAAGAUUUAUCGGCAAAGGAUCGGCCCGCGUUGGAUUAGGUAGUUGGUGGGGUAAUGGCCUACCAAGCCGACGAUCCAUAGCUAGUUUGAGAGGAUGAUCAGCCACACUGGGACUGAGACACGGCCCAGACUCCUACGGGAGGCAGCAGUGGGGAAUCUUAGACAAUGGGCGCAAGCCUGAUCUAGCCAUGCCGCGUGAGCGAUGAAGGCCUUAGGGUUGUAAAGCUCUUUCAGUGGGGAAGAUAAUGACUGUACCCACAGAAGAAGCCCCGGCUAACUCCGUG